rnacentral:misc_RNA from 1 species
GUCUCAACAUCUCAUUGUAAGUUUCAACACUAGAAUAUUGGAUAUAGAAGUGGCUUUCUAUGCGGCCAAGCUCUGUACAGUAGAAGUUGCCACUUUUCUCAUCAAAACGCAUCAUUUUAGCUUUGUCAAGUGCACGUGCAGCAUCUGUUAUAAGAGCUCUCUGCUUUAAACUCAAAGAAGGAUCUGCAAUAACCUCAUCCCAUCCAAUACCAUAUGCCAAAGGAUUCUGCCUCAUCCUGAUGAAAAGGUAGGUAUACCCGAGCCAUGCACAGGCUUCCUUGACAUUAGUGACAGUACCCAAUGCCACUUCUGCAUUUAAAUUAUCUUUUAAGGAGCUAAUAAACUGACUUUCUAUGGGAAGUUGACUUGUCAGCAAUCUUAGAUAGUAGGCCAGUUUGUCAUGAGACGUGAUUAUAAUGC